UUUUAGGCCCUUUUUGUUAAAUUAAUUUAAUAAGAAGAUAGAGGAUAAAUCUCAUUCGGAAAAAAGGGUCUGAUCUAUCCCUGUACUAUGGCAAAUUGUUUAAAAUUGUCCCCCGUUAUAUUAUUGGGCCAUAAAAGUCCCUCCCGUCCAACUAUCCUAACAAAUAUGUCCUUAGUUAGACGGAGGUGCCACGUGGCAUCCAUCCGUGCCUGUUUUAAAUCUGGGCACAUAAGAGACGACCCGCUCCAUGAAACCCACCAACCCAAAUAACGCGACCCGCCAUUUACAAACCAAAUAAUACCCAUUUCGUCCAUUUCAUUUUUCCCGUUUCAUUUUCUUCUCUCACUAACUAUCUAGAACAUGAAAAUUCUCUCACAACUUUGUUGAUAACCGAUUUGAAGUGAAGAAAUUCCAUAAAGGAAAAUUGGUGAAGACUUGGACAGGUUAUGACUCCGACUUACUUUCAGACAUAGACAUAGUCAAUGAAUUCACAAAUAUGCUAGGAUUUUUAGGGGUUCAACAACUUAUAGUUGAUGCCCCAUCUGGUAAAUUUUAUGUGAUUGAGGGGGAUGAUGGUGUUAGACAUUUACAAAGGUUAUUAUGCAAUGAAUUCAAUGUAGUGAACCUAUAUGGUAUAGAUGAAUGUGAGCCCCAUAUUUACUCUAUUCCCAAUAUUGUACAAUAUGAAGAAGAAUCUAAUAAAAUAGUGGAUGAUGUUGGUAUUGAUUGUAGCUUAAGUGAUGUAUGAUCUGACUCUAGUACUAAUUCUGAAGGAUACAAUUCUGAAGAAUUAGAAGCACUUAAAGCACAAAAGAAAAGGAAAAUAAAUGAAAAACUUAGUGACUGCAAAGAGUUAUGCAAAGGUAUGUCCUGAAGCUAGGAAGUGUCUGAAGUUAUAUUCUCUGGCUAACAAGAAAAGAUUAAAAUUGGAGAAGAGUGACCUAGAAAGGCUUAGGUAUAGUUGUGAUAUUGUUGGUUGUCCCUGUGUGUGCUUAAUAUCAAAAGAAAAGUUGGUGGGGUUAAAAUCAAGACUUUAUCUACUGAACAUGAUUGUGGCACUGCAUUUGAUAACAAGACUGUUGAUUUUAGUACCAUUGCACAAUAUUUCAAGCAGAAGUUAAAGGAUAAUCCUAAGUAGAAGGUUAGGGAGAUGAUGUUAGAUUUGAAGAGAAACUUUGAGCUAAAUGUUAGUCAUGUGAAGUGCAAGAGGGCAAAGAGGAUGGUAUUGGAGUUACUAGAUGGUAGUUUUUCAGAUGAGUACAAUAAACUAGAAGCUUAUGCCAAUGAAUUGAGGGGAAGUAACCCUAGUAGUGAUGUGGUUGUUACACUUUCAAAGAGUACACUUGAAGAAGGAAGAAGAAGGUUCUUGAGAAUGCAUAUGUGUUUUCAUGCUUUGAAGAUGGGUUUCAAUCUAGGAUUGAGACCUUUUAUUGGUUUGGAUGGUACAUUUUUGAAGGGCAAAGCCAAAGGCCAACUGUUAGUGGCAGUUGGACAGGAUUCAUAGAAUCAUUUUUAUCCUUUGGCAUGGGCAGUUGUUGAAAAGGAGAACAAAAAUACUUGGAAUUGGUUCCUACAACUGCUGCAAUCUUCUUUGGACCUCAAGGAAGGGGAAAGAAUCACCUUCAUGUCAGAUAUGCAAAAGGUGAAGUUUUCUGAAAUUUCGGAUCUGUUAUUCAAUCUUCUAAUUACUUUUUACUUAAUAAUCAAUUCUGAACAUCUUUGUUUGUUCUGCAAGGACUGCUUGAUGCAGUCAAAACAGUCCUUCCCCAAGCACAUCACAGGUAUUAUGUUAGACAUAUUAAGCCUAACUGGUACAAACAGUACAAUACUGCGGAAAACAAGAAUGCAUGGACAACACUGGAUUGUGGAUGCAAGGGAUAAGCCUAUAAUCAAGAUGCCAGAUGACAUCAUAAUCAAGACCAUGAACUUGUUAAGAGAACAUGUAGAAGAAGUUAGGAGCUGGAGACAUGAUUUCAGUCUAAAAUGUAAGGACUUGUACAAUGAGUACCUGCAGAUUGCACAAACUGUGUGUGAAGUAAAUACAAAUGGUCAAAAUGGCUAUGAAGUAACAGAAGGAUCUGAUAAGCAUUGUGUUAAUUUGGUUGUGAAGAAGUGCACUUGUAGGUCAUGGGACCUUAUAGGAAUCCCAUGUCCACAUGCUAUUAGAGCUAUACUUCAUGACUCUGGUGAUCCAAUCACUGAAAUCAACUGGUGGUAUAGCAAGGAGGCAUUUUUGCUGACUUAUAGGCACAAAAUACAACAUGUCAAGGGAGAAAAGGUUUGGAAGAUUGAACCAUCUCAAGCAAUGGAGCCUCCAGAGCUUGUGAAAUUGGUUGGUAGACCUAAGGUUAAGAGAGAUAGGCAGAAGGAUGAGGCAGUUAAAAAAUAAGGAGUGUGGUCACAGUCCAGAAAAGGAAGAAUCAUGACUUGUAGCAAAUGUGGAGAAACAACUCAUAAUGCAAGGACUUGUGAUCAGGGAAAGAAGCAAAGUAAGAGAGGAAAAGUUGAGCAGGCUGCUGCCACAACUGAACAGGCUACCACCAGUUCAGCACCUGCUACCACAACUGAGCAGGCUUCCACAACUUAGCAGGCUACCACCAGUUCAACACCCGCUGCAAAAAGAAUCAAAAGGAAAGCAAUAGAGGAAGAGCCAAGUUGUUUGAUAGAACAUGAAACUGAACCUCAAGUUGAAAAUGAUAUCAACUGUUCAACACCUCAAGCCACUCAACCAAGUCAGGACAGUGGGCUUAGGUUCAUGCCUACACCUGGAAGAAUACUUAGGUCAAGAGUUAGACAUGAAGAAGAUGUUGUGCUUAGGCCAAGAGUUAUAUUAGAAGUAACUACAAGGCUUAGGAUGAGACAACAGGUACAAAUACCAGCUGAAAUAAGGUCAAUCAACUUCACAGGUGAUCAUAGUGGUGUUAGUGUACCAACAGAUCUGCCAUAUUCAACCCCAACAUUAUAGUGGAAGGGGAAGGAUGUUGUAACUGCAAAUCAGUUGGAAAAACAAGGGCAAGAAGGAAUUGGGAAUCUGAAAUCAAGGAGAAAAAAACUGAAGACAAAAGUAUAAUUUUUUUGUUGUAUGGGAUGUAUUUA